GCCGAACGAAGUGAGACCACGUUGCUUUAGCAACGGCCCGCAGGGCAAGCAUCGAAGAUGCGCAUAAUCCUCUCAUGCCGACCA
rnacentral:sRNA from 1 species